UGUACACCCCGUUCCAAGGAAACCGGAGGGGCCUCCUCCCCCCUGCCCUGCCGACCUCUUUGCCGAAAUUGUCCAAUGCGCGUGGCGGGCUGGAUUUCCGCGUUCUGUACUCCUCUUCCCCUUCCAUGUGACCCGACCACCCUCCCUCCUCUCGCUCCUCUUCCUCACACCGCGCCACCACCCUCCCCACCUCUCCUCGCCUCCCAAAAAAAGGGACCGCACCAAAAGGGGAGGGGCGGAGACCACCCGCCUGCACACCGGGUUCGGCGUGGCGGCCUGACGGGGUAGGAGAUGUCUUCGCGGUCGUCGGGGUCCGUGGGCAGCGGCGGCGGGAGCAGCGCGGGGGGCUCGGCCGUGCCGCUGGCCGUGCUGCUGCGGCGGGAGGUGAUCAGCGAGCGCACCGCGUCGGAGCGGCCGGAGCUGCAGACGGGGCUCUUCAGCCAGGCCAAGAAAGGCGAGGACUUCACCUUUCUCAAGCCCGAAUGCGAGCGCCUCCCGGGCGUCCCGUCCUCCUCCUUCUCCGCCUUCGGCCUGUUUGAUGGGCAUAAUGGGAAUGGAGCCGCAAUUUAUACCAAGGAGGAACUCUUGAACAACGUCUUGAGCGCAGUCCCUGCUGAUCUCAACAGGGAAGACUGGCUUGCUGCGCUUCCAAGAGCAUUGGUUGCAGCAUUUGUCAAAACUGACAAAGAUUUCCAGACAAAAGCACGUUCUUCAGGGACAACUGUGACAUUCGUCAUAAUAGAUGGAUUGGUUGUUACUGUUGCAUCGGUUGGUGAUUCCCGUUGUGUACUAGAAGCUGAAGGUUCAAUUUAUCAUUUAUCUUCUGAUCAUCGAUUUGAUGCAAGUAAAGAGGAGGUUGAUCGUGUAACAGAAAGUGGAGGUGAUGUUGGAAGGCUAAAUGUUGUUGGUGGUGCUGAGAUUGGCCCCCUUAGAUGUUGGCCUGGUGGUUUGUGCCUAUCAAGAUCAAUUGGAGAUCAAGAUGUUGGUGAAUUUAUCGUUCCAGUUCCUUUCGUCAAGCAAGUGAAGCUGUCUACUGCGGGAGGUCGACUUAUUAUUGCAAGUGAUGGUGUUUGGGAUGCCUUGUCUGCAGAAGCGGCUUUUAACUGUUCACGAGAACUUCCUCCGGAGCCUGCAGCUGAGCAAAUUGUUAAAACAGCUGUGCAAUCAAAAGGACUGAGAGAUGAUACCACUUGUAUUGUCGUUGACAUAAUACCAGAAAAAGUGAACCCUUCCAUGUCACUUCCUAAAAAGCAACCGGGAAUUGGUGUCUUCAAAAAUAUGUUCCGCAAGAAAACAUCAUCUGACUCAUCGUCCCAUGCAGAUAGAGAAUAUAUGGACCAAGACAUUGUGGAGGAAAUGUUUGAGGAUGGAUGUGCACUUCUUUCUAGACGAUUGGAUUCUGAAUAUCCUGUUCGGAAUAUGUUCAAGCUCUUCGUAUGUGCCAUUUGUCAAGUAGAGUUGAAACCAAACCAAGGGAUAUCAGUACAUGAAGAUUCAUCACAACCUGGGAGCUUGCGUCGCUGGGAUGGUCCAUUCCUUUGCCAUAGCUGUCAGGAAAAGAAAGAAGCGAUGGAGGGAAAGCGUCGUUCGCGAGAUUCUUCAUCGAGAAACAGUGGGUCAAGUGAAUAGUUGUCAUGGGUAGAAUUAUCAGGAAUCAACUGACCAACAACACCCCAGCGCCAUCGAUUUUGCUGCAUUUAUGUUGUGGCCCUUCCUUGAUCACAUGGAUUGUCUGGGAGUUUUGAUCUAGAACUAGAACGAUGUAUUGCCAUUGAAAAGUUGGCUGCCGUUGAAUACCUCUUAUCACAAGUGAGAAGCAUGCCUUGUCUUGCAGCAAGGAUCUUGCCCAGGAAUGCAGGCAGCUUUUAUCAGCCCAUUGACCUUGAUGGCACAUACAGAUCGAAAUAUCUUCGGGGACAAAAUACCAUGGCAUGUCUAUUCUAAGGUCAAAAUUUCAAUGCAAAUUACUCAUCGUAUAGAGCUCUGACAAAUAGCUACGGCAUUGUGAUUCUAAUCUAGAACUAGCUCAAGGCCUUAUCCACUCAUCCUCUCUCUCAGCCCCUAAUCUCCUCCUCUUGCUCUCUCGUCUCACAGGCUUAUCCUUGCGGCUUGCUUGCAGCGGAGCUUCCAAGUGCGCAAUAACUCCACCUCCAUCGACGGUGAGCAGGGGCCGUCUCAACCGCAAUCCAAGUGUGCGACGCUGCUGAUCGUCCAAGAAAUGGCUACUUGCCAUGGACGGCGGUGCGAGGUCAGCGCCGCCCUAGAAGAGGCCACUUCCGUAAGUCUCAAAGCUUACGUAAGAUGUGGCAGAAUGACCUACUCUCUGAUCUCAGUUGAUUAAUUUUUUCUUGUGUGCUUCGUGUUUCUUUCAAGUUCUUGAUCCAUACAAAUAAAAAAAAAAAAACUGGUUCCAUUCACGUGAUGGAGCCCGGAAGGUGAGCUCGUGGAGGUGUUGUGGCAAAAUGGUAGCGUAUCGCACUCGUAGGCGCAGAUGCACCACCAGGGGCCCUUCGGCCAUGGGUGGAGCAGCGGCAGCGGCAGCAACACAGGUGCGACCGUGCGAGCGACGUCACCCGGGAGGAGGCAGUAGCGUGGGUCCCUGAUGCUAGCGCGCUGGGCGGGGAAAUGUACUUGCAGCUCUGGCUCAUCAUCGUGCAAGUCGACGGACAUGUGGGCAGGGACACGGCCGCGUCCACCAGCUAGCAGUGACAUAGGGUAAAGCCGGACCGGUGGCGGGGGCGGCUGAGCAGUCAUGCAUGGUAGCUCCGGCUCAAUUUGAGCUGGCUUUUUUUUUUAUUGUUGUUUGGAAGUGGUAUUACUUUCGGUUGGCAAUCGGCAGUGAUAGAGCUCAGAUUAUCACCGGCGUUUGCCGUUUUUUUACUGCCGGUUUCAAAACUAAUAUUGACACGAGUUUGUGA